rnacentral:rRNA from 1 species
GACAGAGGGUGCAAACGUUGUUCGGAAUUACUGGGCGUAAAGCGCGUGUAGGCUGCUACGAAAGUCGGAUGUGAAAGCCCUGGGCUCAACCUAGGAAGUGCAUUCGAAACUUCGAAGCUGGAGUCCUGGAGAGGAAGGCGGAAUUCUCGGUGUAGAGGUGAAAUUCGUAGAUAUCGAGAGGAACACCGGUGGCGAAGGCGGCCUUCUGGACAGUGACUGACGCUGAGACGCGAAAGCGUGGGGAGCAAACAGG